AAGGAGUUCGGCUAUCGCUUCAACAGGACUAGGGGGCUCUACCUGA
rnacentral:SRP_RNA from 1 species